rnacentral:lncRNA from 1 species
GGAGCCUCGGUCCCCAUGGAGAUGGAGUGUGCCACCCUCGCAGCAUGCAGAUGUGUGCACCAGCCCACAAGCUCUCUGCACUGCAGGCUUGGGGAUUUGCUGGAGGAUUAGAUAAGAGAUGGAGCAUUCUCCUAUCUCCAGCCCCUCUCCGUUAUCUGGAGAGGGGGUAUAGCUGAAGUUCCAAGCUUCUAAUCCAUGGUUUGGUCUUUCUAGUGACCAACUCCCAUUCUGAAGCUAUCUAGGAAUUCACCAAGCGUUGUCUCAUUAGAACAAAAGACACUCCUGUCAUCUAGGAAAUUCCAGGCAGUUUAGGAGCUUUGUGUCAGGAAUCGGUGUCAAAGACCAAAUAUCAGAACACCAAGAUUCGUUUAGUGCUCUUAUCACUUAGGAAAUUACAAGAGUUUUAGGAGCUCUGUGCAAGAACUGGGGAUGGGGACCAUUAUAUGUAUUUUUUAUAUUUUAUAUUAGCAGUAGUAAUUUAAAACAGGGAAAAGGAGUUACUGUUGUGCCUCAGAGGUAAUGAACCUGACUACUGUCCAUGAGGAUGCAGGUUCAAUGGCCUUGCUCAGUGGGUUAAGGGUCCAGCAUUGCCAUGAGUUGUGGUGUAGGUCACAGAUGCUGCUCAGAUCUGGCGUGGCUGUGGCUUAGGCCAGCAGCUGCAGCUCAGAUUCAACCCUUAGCCUAGGAACAUCCAUAUGGCACAGGUUGGCUCUUUAAAAAAAAAACAAAAAACACAGGGAAAUUAGAAACAAUCUAUAUAUCCAAUUUAUUACCUAAGUGGUUGGGAUAAACAGUUUGGCCUUUCUAUGGAAUAUUAUGCAUCCAUUAAAAUAAUGAUAAAGACUAUGCAGCAUUAUAAAAAUGUUAUAAUAAGCAAAUCCACAUUUCAAUAUAUAAUAAAUUAAAUGCUUAUGGUUUAUAAGAAAGAUACAGCAUUAAGAUGAGGAAAAUACAUGAAAUAUUGAUGUAUUGUGGUGAAAUAGUAUAACAUUUUUUCCAGAUUUUUUAUUUUAUGAUGAAGGGAAAAAAAAAAAUCUCUAAACUUUCCUGGUAUUCCUUGCUGUUGAAAGACAUGGCACCCUUUUUAAAAAUUUUAACUUAUGCUUUAGUUCUAGUAGUACUAAGUUUUUGGAAACCAGCUUCAUUUAUUAAUUUUUUUUUUUUUGUCUUUUGUCUUUUUAGGGCUGCACCCAUGGCAUAUGGAGGUUCCCAGGCUAGGGGUCUAAUUGGAGCUGUAGCCGCUGGCUUACACCAGAGCCACAGCAACACUAGAUUCGAGCCACGUCUGCAACCUACAUCACAGCUCAUGGCAAUACCAGAUCCUCAACCCACUGAGCGAGGCCAGGGACUGAACCCGCAACCUCAUGGUUCCUAGUCGGAUUCCUUAACCACUGCACCACGACGGGAACUCCUCAUUUAUUAAAUUGGAAUCAAAUAUUUCUAGCUCAAUAUUCAACAGUUCUAGUAAGGGAAAUAUGACACAUCUGACCCUUAAAUAUAACUGUCACAGCUUCUCCAUUCAUUGUUAAUCUGUACAAAUAAAAAACUGAAGACAUUAUGGAUCCUAGGACUAAUGGCUGAGAUUGAGGGUGCAAGGUUAAUCUCUUGGUUUCCAAGGAAAGUACUUCCUUUCAUUGUCCCCUGGUGGUAUCUACUGUGGGAUGGAGAACAAGAUUUGGAGAGCUUAGAAUUGGCAUGUGAAUUCUAUUGGCUCUGGUACAGGCUGUUGGGACUUCCUCCUGUAUUUUUGAAAGAAAUAUUUUGAAAGAGGAGUGGUUCCUUAGCUCUGCUGGGGCCUCAUCUUGGAACUUGGUGCCUCUCUGGCUAUCACAGCGAUGAGGGAUGCUGAGCCAGCACAGAGAGCUGGACAGGAGUUGGAGCUCACAUCAAAUGUGGGCAAGUAUGAACCCACAGCUUGGGAAAGGAUGAACUGGAAUGUGGGGUUGGAGGAUAAGGGGGGGCUUGGGUGCUGGGGGUAGUUGGGAGGAGCUUGUGACACAUGUCCCAAAUAAGGUCCUUAGAUGGUGAUGGGAAAACUGGGUCAGGCUUGCUCAUCUAACCCUCUCAAAAACUCUACAAGAUAGGACCUGGUAUUAUCCAUGUUUUUCACUACAAAACUUAGAGAGGUUAAGACAUUUGCCCAAAAGUAAGAGUGUUAGGAUGUAACUAGGAGCUGGGACUUGAACUUCCCUGUCUCUAGGACCCUUGUUUCUCACCCCCACACUCUAGGUCCUAUCUGAGCUCUUUAUGUGGCUUUUCUCAUCUUCAGUGGACAGAAAAAAGAAAUGCACCUUGGGGUUGAGGAUCAAGACAAAUACUUUAGUAAGAAAGGCACUGGCAAUUAGAGAGAACUCAAAAGGACUUUGAGGUUUCCCGACCUCCUGCAGGAGGGUAAUGAUUAUGUGAUGUAACCCACAUUCUUGCCUGACUUCUGGAAAUUAAAAAAAAAA